UACAGAGGCCUCGAGCGUUAGGCGGAAUCACUGGGCUUAAAGCGUGUGUAGGCGGACUUCUAAGUACCUUGUGAAAUCCCACAGCUUAACUGUGGAACUGCUUGGUAUACUGGUUGUCUUGAGGUACCUAGGGGCGAGCGGAACAAGUGGUGGAGCGGUGAAAUGCGUAGAUAUCACUUGGAACGCCAACGGUGAAAACAGCUCGCUGGGGGUACCCUGACGCUGAGACACGAAAGCCAGGGGAGCAAACGGG
rnacentral:rRNA from 1 species